rnacentral:tRNA from 1 species
UCAUUAGACACAAGGUUUAAACAUAAGUUUGUUUAAACCGUGCAUAUGACGCUGACUCUCAAUGAAUCCCUCUCACGAAAAAGAGACCCCUCUUUGAAACAAAGAGGAUCCCCCCCGUCUCUUUGAGGCCCCUACCUCUGUUGAGAGAACUAUUUGAGGGUUUAGUGCUCAUGUGUUGAUAGUAUACAAGCAGAUAUGCCGUCUUCGUUUCUCUUUCUUCAGAUGAUGAUCCCAAGCCUUCUGGCGAUCUCUUAAAAUAAAGUCUUACUUCAUAAUCCUGCUAGGUUUUUAGAGAAAAACAUGUGUUUCAGGGCUCUAUAGUUUUUAGAUACUAUAGAUUUUAAAGACCAUGAAUUUACUUAAAGCUUAUAGGGUAACAAAAGGCUUUAUGCGGAAAGCAGUUCAAGCUUUUCUCAUAAUUUAAGAUGAUACCGGCGAAGGUUUUCCGGUUUAUCCCGGAGGGCUUGUAGCUCAGUUGGUUAGAGCGCGCGCUUGAUAAGCGUGAGGUCGGAGGUUCAAGUCCUCCCAGGCCCACCAAUUUAUGCUCGUUUUUUGCCUAUUUUAAAGCAUAUGACGCUUAAGCGUAUUAAAGCCUCUUUAAUCUUUGUUGAUUAUUAAAGAUUUUGUUUUAUCAUUCAAAGAUUGUCAGAGCUUAUUUUUUGUUCCAUGGAGUUUUGUUAAAAAGGAUUUUAAAAUUCCUUCAGUGAUACAGAUAAAUCUAAAGGAUACAAAUUGAAAUAGUUUUGGCUAUCCAAGUUGAUAAAAUGGGUUGAGGUUGAAUUGAGAGAGCAUUGUUUAGGGGCCGUAGCUCAGCUGGGAAAGCACCUGCUUUGCAAGCAGGGGGUCGUCGGUUCGAUCCCGUCCGGCUCCACCACUUAAUUGAUCAUCAUCAUGUUGUAAGAACACGGGUUUAGUGAGAGGUUUUUGAACCUUUUGCUUGUUCUAUUGAAAUUGUGAAGAGAAGAUAUAUUCAAACAUGUUCCUUUUGGAGUGUUUGUUCUAAAGAGCAAAAUUUGCUCUUAAAGAGCAAUGAUUUUAAGAAAAGAAAUCUGAAAACUU